AUUGAACGCUGGCGGCAGGCCUAACACAUGCAAGUCGAGCGGUUGACGGGAGCUUGCUCCCUGAUUCAGCGGCGGACGGGUGAGUAAUGCCUAGGAAUCUGCCUAUUAGUGGGGGACAACGUUUCGAAAGGAACGCUAAUACCGCAUACGUCCUACGGGAGAAAGCAGGGGACCUUCGGGCCUUGCGCUAAUAGAUGAGCCUAGGUCGGAUUAGCUAGUUGGUGAGGUAAUGGUUCACCAAGGCGACGAUCCGUAACUGGUCUGAGAGGAUGAUCAGUCACCCUGGAACUGAGACACGGUCCAGACUCCUACGGAAGGCAGCAGUGGGGAAUAUUGGACAAUGGGCGAAAGCCUGAUCCAGCCAUGCCGCGUGUGUGAAGAAGGUCUUCGGAUUGUAAAGCACUUUAAGUUGGGAGGAAGGGCAGUAAGUUAAUACCUUGCUGUUUUGACGUUACCGACAGAAUAAGCACCGGCUAACUCUGUGCCAGCCGCCGCUGUAAGAC
rnacentral:rRNA from 1 species